CACGUAGUUAGCCGGUGCUUUUUCUGCAGGUACCGUCACUUUCGCUUCUUCCCUACUAAAAGAGGUUUACAACCCGAAGGCCGUCGUCCCUCACGCGGCGUUGCUGCAUCAGGCUUUCGCCCAUUGUGCAAUAUUCCCCACUGCUGCCUCCCGUAGGAGUCUGGGCCGUGUCCCAGUCCCAGUGUGGCCGGUCACCCUCUCAGGCCGGCUACCCGUCGUAGGCUUGGUGAGCCAUUACCUCACCAACUACCUGAUAGGCCGCGAGUCCAUCCUUGACCAAAAUUCUUUCCACAACCAGACCAUGCGGCCAGCUGAAAUAUCCGGUAUUAGACACCGUUUCCAGUGCUUAUCCCAGAGUCAAGGGCAGGUUACUCACGUGUUACUCACCCGUUCGCCACUAAUCCACCCAGCAAGCUGGGCUUCAUCGUUCGACUUGCAUGUGUUAACGCACGCCGCCAGCGUGUCCUGUAGCCAGGACGUCAAACGUCU
rnacentral:rRNA from 1 species